rnacentral:rRNA from 1 species
GACGAACGCUGGCGGCGUGCCUAAUACAUGCAAGUUGAGCGCUGAAGGUUGGUACUUGUACCAACUGGAUGAGCAGCGAACGGGUGAGUAACGCGUGGGGAAUCUGCCUUUGAGCGGGGGACAACAUUCGGAAACGAAUGCUAAUACCGCAUAAAAACUUUAAACACAAGUUUUAAGUUUGAAAGAUGCAAUUGCAUCACUCAAAGAUGAUCCCGCGUUGUAUUAGCUAGUUGGUGAGGUAAAGGCUCACCAAGGCGAUGAUACAUAGCCGACCUGAGAGGGUGAUAGGCCACAUUGGGACUGAGACACGGCCCAAACUCCUACGGGAGGCAGCAGUAGGGAAUCUUCGGCAAUGGACGAAAGUCUGACCGAGCAACGCCGCGUGAGGGAAGAAGGGUGUCGGAUCGUAAAACUCUGUUGGUAGAGAAGAACGUUGGUGAGAGUGGAAAGCUCAUCAAGUGACGGUAACUACCCAGAAAGGGACGGCUAACUACGUG